rnacentral:misc_RNA from 1 species
UCCGGUUUGUCACCGGCAGUCUCAUUAGAGUGCCCAACUGAAUGUAGCAACUAAUGACAGGGGUUGCGCUCGUUGCGCCACUUAACCCAACAUCUCACGACACGAGCUGACGACAGCCAUGCAGCACCUGUGUACGCUGCUCUUGCGAGCUCGUCAGGCUUUCACCCUUCUACUACGUACAUGUCAAGGCCAGGUAAGGUUCUUCGCGUUGCAUCGAAUUGAGCCACAUACUCCACCGCUUGUGCAGGCCCCCGUCAAUUCCUUUGAGUUUUAGCCUUGCGGCCGUACUCCCCAGGCGGGGUGCUUAAUGCGUUAGCUUCGGCACGGACGGGGUCGAUGUCCGCCCACACCUAGCACCCAACGUUUACGGCUAGGACUAC